rnacentral:snoRNA from 1 species
UGUUCCCAGCCACACCGGGCAGGAUGGCGCCCGGUGAUGGCGUCGCGUCCAAUCGGUGUGGCGAGAG